rnacentral:rRNA from 1 species
ACGCUGGCGGCAGGCUUAACACAUGCAAGUCGAACGGUAGCAGGAGAAAGCUUGCUUUCUUGCUGACGAGUGGCGGACGGGUGAGUAAUGCUUGGGAAUCUGGCUUAUGGAGGGGGAUAACUACGGGAAACUGUAGCUAAUACCGCGUAGAAUCGGAAGAUGAAAGUGCGGGACCGCAAGGCCGCAUGCCAUGAGAUGAGCCCAAGUGGGAUUAGGUAGUUGGUGGGGUAAAGGCCUACCAAGCCUGCGACCUCUAGCUGGUCUGAGAGGAUGGCCAGCCACACUGGAACUGAGACACGGUCCAGACUCCUACGGGAGGCAGCAGUGGGGAAUAUUGCGCAAUGGGGGGAACCCUGACGCAGCCAUGCCGCGUGAAUGAAGAAGGCCUUCGGGUUGUAAAGUUCUUUCGGUAUUGAGGAAGGUUGAUGUGUUAAUAGUACAUCAAAUUGACGUUAAAUACAGAAGAAGCACCGGCUAACUCCGUGCCAGCAGCCGCGGUAAUACGGAGGGUGCGAGCGUUAAUCGGAAUAACUGGGCGUAAAGGGCACGCAGGCGGUUAUUUAAGUGAGGUGUGAAAGCCCCGGGCUUAACCUGGGAAUUGCAUUUCAGACUGGGUAACUAGAGUACUUUAGGGAGGGGUAGAAUUCCACGUGUAGCGGUGAAAUGCGUAGAGAUGUGGAGGAAUACCGAAGGCGAAGGCAGCCCCUUGGGAAUGUACUGACGCUCAUGUGCGAAAGCGUGGGGAGCAAACAGGAUUAGAUACCCUGGUAGUCCACGCUGUAAACGCUGUCGAUUUGGGGAUUGGGGCUUAAAGCUUGUGCCUGUAGCUAACGUGAUAAAUCGACCGCCUGGGGAGUACGGCCGCAAGGUUAAAACUCAAAUGAAUUGACGGGGGCCCGCACAAGCGGUG